GAUGAACGCUGGCGGCGUGCCUAAUACAUGCAAGUCGAGCGAACGGACGAGAAGCUUGCUUCUCUGAUGUUAGCGGCGGACGGGUGAGUAACACGUGGAUAACCUACCUAUAAGACUGGGAUAACUUCGGGAAACCGGAGCUAAUACCGGAUAAUAUUUUGAACCGCAUGGUUCAAAAGUGAAAGACGGUCUUUCUGUCACUUAUAGAUGGAUCCGCGCUUCAUUAGCUAGUUGGUAAGGUAACGGCUUACCAAGGCAACGAUGCAUAGCCGACCUGAGAGGGUGAUCGGCCACAGUGGAACUGAGCCACGGUCCAGACUCCUGCGGGAGGCAGCAGUAGGGAAUCUUCCGCAAUGGGCGAAAGCCUUACGGAGCAACGCCGAGUGAGUGAUGAAGGUCUUCGGAUCGUAAAACUGUGUUAUUAGGGAAGAACAUAUGUGUAAGUAACUGUGCACAUCUUGACGGUACCUAAUCAGAAAGCCACGGCUAACUACGUG
rnacentral:rRNA from 1 species